GAGAGCUUUCAAGUGUAUUCAACCUUCUCCCCCUCAGCCUUCUCCAAAAGUCCCUCUAUCUCCCACCUCCCCAACACUAAACUCUUAAAACUUACUGAAGAAAAACAAGCACAUUAAUCCAGGCUCAACCUGGCAUAGCAAAAGAAGCAGGCAGCAUUCUCAGGAUUUGUAGACCAUGAAGAGGAUGGAGAGGUACCUGGUCAGGGGACCACUACAGAAGCACUUUGAUUUGGAGAGGAAGAAUGCCAAGCAGGCUGAAGCCAGACUCAGCCAAAGACUGCAGAGGUUAGAGGAUAUCUGCCUAUACCAUGUGAAGUUGCUGACCAGGGAGCAGAGAGAGCUCCAGAAAGAACUGCAGAGGUUGCAGCAAGAUAUCAUCAAGAAAAAGUUCUCCUCUUACUUUGAGAAUGGAAGUCAGAAGAGACCAGAAGAUGUUCUUAUGUUCUCAUCACAGGGAAGACAGAAGCACAGGGUUCUACAGGCUAAUAAAUUUAGAGCACUGACAACAAAUACGAUCCAAGAAAUAUACAAAACCAAGUCCCAGAUGCCUCCUUUCCAUCACAUUGGUCCCAAGGACCCCAUGAAAAGCAAAAGGCAGUCGCUAUCUCAAAAUAACAGAACUUCCCACUUUAUAGAAGAGAAGCCGCAAGCCCAAGAGAAAUAUUCUAUAAACCCACUGAAGGGCAAAGACUCCAACAAGGGCAUUUCUAUUCUAUGUCAAGAUCAAGACGUCUCCACUCACACCAUAGACCAAGGCCCCAGUUCCAGCCCAGCUGGUGGUAGCAGAAUGGCACACGGCGAUGAGACCAGAUCAAAUGAUGCCAACAUAAGGCCAGACCAUGCCACUGGGAAACAAAUUCCCCCGAAUCCCAUGGAAUGUGGAGGGAACCUCAAAGGCGAGCCCAAAACAUCAACCUACUUAGAGUUGUUUGCAAAGGCCAGAAACGCUCACUACCUCCGGCACCGGGUCCCCCCUGAGUCUGAGAGAUUGCUUAGCAUUGGGGAGAUCUUUGGGCACAAGGAAUCCUCACAGCCCAGAGCAGAAAAGGGGUGUGAAUACAGGGUGACCAUCUAAGUUACUUCCUCUCUAACCAUCUAACAUAUCCUCACAAUAACAUAUGCUAUAAUCACUAAAUAGAAGUGUUUCUCAAGCAACUGUAGUAAGCAAUACAAAUAUAUAUAUGCAAUACAUAUAUAUGUGUAUAUAUAUAUACUUUUUUCUUAAAACCUAAUUUUUUGUCUUUUUAUGCAAAUAUAAUCUUUCACUGAAUGAGCAAUGUUAACAUGAAAAAUGAAGGGAGAGGUGAAUCUUCCGAAACCAUUUUAAGCAAUGUACACAUGUUGCUAACAUCAUCAAAAUUAUGAAUCUACAUUGAUGUCUAGAGUUUUCCUGAAAGGUAAAAUAUUAAGGAUCCUGCUUACCUUUGCCACCCUUUUCUUAUAGGAGAUUCUUAUGGUGCCACCUGCUGGCAAAAUGGCAUGGCUCUUCUGUUUGUUUUAGUUUCACAUAUAAAGGAUUGCAUAUACCUGGAAAGUAAGCCAGAGGAAGGGAGUGGGACAGACAGCUG